rnacentral:pre_miRNA from 1 species
UAUUAAAAAAAUUAUAUAAUUUUACUGUUUAAAACUGACAUAAUUAAUGAAAUAAACUAAAUAAUAAGACGUGAUAUGCCAUGCGUACCUUAUAUUGACGUACAAUGAUCAACUUUUAACGGUAAAAAUGGAUGAAAAUUUUAACU